UUUUCAUCUGAUGUUGAGAGCGCACAUUGUGCCUUUUGAUUACUGAACUAAACGCACCAACAAAACGGAGGUUUUUGGACAUAAAGAGGGACAUUAUCGAACAAAACAAACAUUUAUUGUCUAACAUGAAGACCUGGGAGUGCCACCAGAUGAAGAUCAUCAAAGAUUCAAAACAUGAUGAUUAGCAUCAUCGAUCAAGUCAGCUGCUGCUGCUCCAAUACAGUAUGAGGUGAGACGGUGAACUGACGUUGAACUGGGCAGUCAGCUGCUGCUGCUCCAAUACAGUAUGAGUCAGCGAGCUGUUGGACUGGUUAGGCAGAACACUUCUACAGCCAGAGAGGGGCAGUCAAGAAAUGGAACGACAAGGCCACAGAACAUGACAUAAACAGAGCUGUGGGAGACCACCUCAAGCCCCUGGUAGAGCCUGGGGUGGUGUUUACCACUCCACCACGCCUUCAGCAGGCUGGAAAAGUGGGAUUGAUCUGUUUGUUUCAAUUGUCAGAAAUUUAAUUAUUUGACAUGGGAUUGGUACUGAUUUUCAUACUAAGAGGGACCAAUAGUCUGAUGAUUGGUCAGUCAUUGGGUUCAUUUGUUGAAGUCAAAUCAAACUUUAUUUAUACAGACAUGGAUGCAACACAAUGGCUUCACAGGAAAAAACAAUGAAAAUAAGCAGAAAUAUUUAGUACAGAAGAUAAGAG
ensembl:lncRNA